rnacentral:rRNA from 1 species
UACGGAGGGUGCGAGCGUUAUCCGGAUUCACUGGGUUUAAAGGGUGCGUAGGUGGGAAUGUAAGUCAGUGGUGAAAUCUCUGAGCUUAACUCAGAAACUGCCAUUGAUACUAUGUUUCUUGAAUUUUCUGGAGGUCAGCGGAAUAUGUCAUGUAGCGGUGAAAUGCUUAGAUAUGACAUAGAACACCAAUUGCGAAGGCAG